UACGUAGGUGGCAAGCGUUGUCCGGAAUUACUGGGUGUAAAGGGCGUGUAGGCGGGUUAUUAAGUCAGAUGUGAAAUUCCAGGGCUCAACCCUGGAGCUGCAUCUGAAACUGAUGAUCUUGAGUACUGGAGAGGGAAGCGGAAUUCCUAGUGUAGCGGUGAAAUGCGUAGAUAUUAGGAGGAACACCAGUGGCGAAAGCGACUUUCUGGCGCGUUACUGACGCUGAGGCUCGAAAGCGUGGGGAGCGAACGGG
rnacentral:rRNA from 1 species